rnacentral:rRNA from 1 species
GAGUUUGAUCUUGGCUCAGAUUGAACGCUGGCGGAAUGCUUUACACAUGCAAGUCGAACGGCAGCGCAGCAGUAGCAAUACUGUGGGCGGCGAGUGGCGGACGGGUGAGGAAUACAUCGGAAUCUACCUUGUCGUGGGGGAUAACGUAGGGAAACUUACGCUAAUACCGCAUACGACCUACGGGUGAAAGCGGCGGACCGCAAGGCGUCGCGCGAUUGGAUGAGCCGAUGUCCGAUUAGCUAGUUGGCGGGGUAAGAGCCCACCAAGGCGACGAUCGGUAGCUGGUCUGAGAGGAUGAUCAGCCACACUGGAACUGAGACACGGUCCAGACUCCUACGGGAGGCAGCAGUGGGGAAUAUUGGACAAUGGGCGCAAGCCUGAUCCAGCCAUGCCGCGUGUGUGAAGAAGGCC